UACGGAGGGUGCAAGCGUUGCUCGGAAUUAUUGGGCGUAAAGGGUAGGUAGGUGGUCUGAUUUGUCAGGGGUGAAAGCCUUGGGCUUAACCCGAGAAGUGCCCCUGAAACGGUCAGACUUGAGUCUUGGAGAGGGUCGUGGAAUUCCCGGUGUAGCGGUGAAAUGCGUAGAGAUCGGGAGGAACACCAGAGGCGAAGGCGGCGACCUGGACAAGCACUGACACUCAACUACGAAAGCGUGGGGAGCAAACAGGAUUAGAAACCCGGGUAGU
rnacentral:rRNA from 1 species